GCCCUGGGGGCCUAAGGGAUAAGGCUUUGGCUUCUUAAGCCAGGGAUUGUGGGUUCAAGCCCUAUAGUGGGUG
rnacentral:tRNA from 1 species